rnacentral:rRNA from 1 species
UGGGGGAUAUUGCACAAUGGGCGAAAGCCUGAUGCAGCGACGCCGCGUGGGGGAUGAAGGCCUUCGGGUUGUAAACUUCUUUUGCUCUGAACAAGGCGCACCAUGGGGUGUGUUGAGUGUAGGGGUUGAUUAGCGCCGGCUAACUACGUGCCAGCAGCCGCGGUAAUACGUAGGGCGCGAGCGUUGUCCGGAAUUAUUGGGCGUAAAGGGCUUGUAGGUGGCUGGUUGCGUCUGUCGUGAAAGCUCAUGGCUUAACUGUGGGUUUGCGGUGGGUACGGGCUGGCUCGAGUGCAGUAGGGGAGGCUGGAAUUCCUGGUGUAGCGGUGGAAUGCGCAGAUAUCAGGAGGAAUACCGGUGGCGAAGGCGGGUCUCUGGGCUGUUACUGACACUGAGGAGCGAAAGCAUGGGGAGCGAACAGG